UACGAAGGGGGCUAGCGUUGUUCGGAAUUACUGGGCGUAAAGGGCGCGUAGGCGGUCCUGAUCGUCGGAUGUGAAAGGCCUGGGCUCAACCUGGGAACUGCAUCCGAUACGGCGGGACUGGAGUGUGGGAGAGGUUGGUGGAAUUCCCAGUGUAGAGGUGAAAUUCGUAGAGAUCGGGUGGAACACCAGUGGCGAAGGCGCCUAUCUGGCUGACAACUGACGCUGAGACUCGAAAGCAUGGGGAGCAAACAGG
rnacentral:rRNA from 1 species